CAGUCGCCGCGGUAAUACGUAGGGUGCAAGCGUUAAUCGGAAUUACUGGGCGUAAAGCGUGCGCAGGCGGUUUGUUAAGACAGAUGUGAAAUCCCCGGGCUCAACCUGGGAACUGCAUUUGUGACUGGCAGGCUAGAGUAUGGCAGAGGGGGGUGGAAUUCCGCGUGUAGCAGUGAAAUGCGUAGAUAUGCGGAGGAACACCGAUGGCGAAGGCAGCCCCCUGGGCCAAUACUGACGCUCAUGCACGAAAGCGUGGGGAGCAAACAGGAUUAGAUACCCGUGUAGUCCCUGUCUCUUAUAC
rnacentral:rRNA from 1 species